rnacentral:rRNA from 1 species
AACGAACGCUGGCGGCAUGCCUAACACAUGCAAGUCGAACGAGACCUUCGGGUCUAGUGGCGCACGGGUGCGUAACGCGUGGGAACCUGCCCCUUGGUUCGGAAUAACAGUUAGAAAUGACUGCUAAUACCGGAUGAUGACUUCGGUCCAAAGAUUUAUCGCCGAGGGAUGGCCCGCGUAGGAUUAGCUAGUUGGUGGGGUAAUGGCCUACCAAGGCGACGAUCCUUAGCUGGUCUGAGAGGAUGAUCAGCCACACUGGGACUGAGACACGGCCCAGACUCCUACGGGAGGCAGCAGUGGGAAUAUUGGACAAUGGGCGAAAGCCUGAUCCAGCAAUGCCGCGUGAGUGAUGAAGGCCUUAGGGUUGUAAAGCUCUUUACCCGGGUAUGAUAAUGACAGUACCGGGAGAAUAAGACCCGGCCUAACUCCGUGCCAGCAGCCGCGGUAAU